rnacentral:rRNA from 1 species
GACGAACGCUGGCGGCGUGCUUAACACAUGCAAGUCGAACGGAAAGGCCCUGCUUGCAGGGUACUCGAGUGGCGAACGGGUGAGUAACACGUGGGUGAUCUGCCCUGCACUUCGGGAUAAGCCUGGGAAACUGGGUCUAAUACCGAUAGGAGCCAUUAUUAGUGUGAUGGGUGGAAAGGUUUGUCGGUGUAUGGUGAGCUCGCGGCCUAUCAGCUUGUUGGUGGGGGAAUGGCCGACCAAUGCGGCGACGGGUAGCCGGCCUUAGAGGGUGGACCGCGACAUUGAGACUGAGGUACGGCAGCGACUCCGACGGGAGGCAGAAGUGGGGAAGAUUGCAGGAUGGGCGCAAGCCUGAUGCUGCGGCGCUGCGUGGGGGAUGACGGCCUUCGGGUUGUAAACCACUUGCGCUAGGGACGAAGCUUUUUGUGACGGUACCUAGACAAGAAGCCACGGCUAACUACGUG